GGAUUUGCGCAUAAAGGAUAUCUGAGGUACAAUGCAGCUGUUCUUUGUUAAGAAGGACUACGGCGAUAAAGGCCUUACGAGAUAGGUGAUACGGACCCGGGGGCAGAACCCGGCACCUCCACCAAAGAUGAGGGGGUGAGUAGCUUCGACGUCCACUGAAGGGUAAGGUGUUCGCUCGGGAUGGUUCCGUCGUUAUCGGGCUAUAAACACAAAUGCGAACGAUACACUCGUCGCUCGUAAUGACAACGAUGCUGGGGCUGCUGUAUUAGCAGCCUAAGCUCUUAGCGUAAGCUAAAAGUUGUCUGAACGCGGUUUGGAGGGCACCGGGCAACAGAAGCCCUCCAUC
rnacentral:tmRNA from 1 species